UGAGGAAUAUUGGUCAAUGGGCGCAAGCCUGAACCAGCCGUCCCGCGUGCAGGAAGACGGCGCUAUGCGUUGUAAACUGCUUUUCCAGGGGGAGAAAUUUCCGUACGUGUACGGAAUUGACGGUACCCUGGGAAUAAGCAUCGGCUAACUCCGUGCCAGCAGCCGCGGUAAUACGGAGGAUGCAAGCGUUAUCCGGAUUCAUUGGGUUUAAAGGGUGCGUAGGCGGACUAUUAAGUCAGUGGUGAAAUCCUGCAGCUUAACUGCAGAACUGCCAUUGAUACUGAUGGUCUUGAGUCUGGUUAAGGUAGGCGGAAUGUGUAAUGUAGCGGUGAAAUGCUUAGAUAUUACACAGAACACCAAUUGCGUAGGCAGCUUACUGAGCCGACACUGACGCUGAGGCACGAAAGCGUGGGGAUCGAACAG
rnacentral:rRNA from 1 species